AUGUAACUCGUGAAGACUCACCAAGUGAAGACCCAAUCUUUCUUAGAACUUUAGGAAAAGGAGACUGGUUUGGAGAGAAAGCCUUGCAGGGGGAGGAUGUGAGAACAGCAAACGUAAUUGCUGCAGAAGCUGUAACUUGCCUCGUGAUUGACAGAGACUCUUUCAAGCAUUUGAUUGGUGGGCUGGAUGACGUUUCCAAUAAAGCAUAUGAAGAUGCAGAAGCCAAAGCAAAGUA